UACAGAGGUCCCAAGCGUUGUUCGGAUUCACUGGGCGUAAAGGGUGCGUAGGUGGCGAGGUAAGUCGGAUGUGAAAGCUCGGAGCUCAACUCCGAAAUGGCAUUGGAAACUACCUUGCUCGAGGGUUGGAGGGGGGACUGGAAUGCUUGGUGUAGCAGUGAAAUGCGUAGAUACCAAGCGGAACACCAGUGGCGAAGGCGAGUCCCUGGACAACUCCUGACACUGAGGCACGAAAGCUAGGGGAGCAAACAGG
rnacentral:rRNA from 1 species